GUUGAGGGGAAUGUUGUCUGGCUCGAAGCUUUUCAAACUGAGAGAGAUAUAAAUAAGGGUUUUAGUUUUGGGUUAAAUGUUACUAGAAAACUUUGAAAAGCUUUGUCUCUCUCAAGGUUUCGGACCAGGCUUCAUUCCCUUCAAA
rnacentral:pre_miRNA from 1 species